GGCGCCCAGCUGUGCAAAUGAAUCCAGGCGCUGUUUAAGAAUGUAUGUUCAUAAAUCAAACUCGUGUCAUGUUAACAGCUUCCCUUAAACAAUGUCUUCAUGUAUUCCAACAGCAGUUUCAGAGUAAAGCAAUUUCACUGAAUUACCAGCCAAUUAUGAUUCUGUCAUUAGAUUUUGUUGCUGUAACCUCAGUUAAUUUGUGUCCCCUGUCUUUCUGUCUCCCCCUCUCUCCUCUUUCUCUCCGUCUUUUGCUCCAACUCUCGUUCUUUUGUGUUUGGGUUUUUCGGGUUGGGAUUUGUGACAUGGGGCAUACUAGGGGGGAUACACAGCUUUACACAUUGCAGCACUUCACGGCCAUCGGCAUAUAGUUGACCUUCUUGUUAAUACGUAUGGAGCAAAGGAGAAUCUGAGGGACUACAGUGGUCGUUUUGCAUAUUAUUACCUCAAUAUAGAGACGCAAUCAAACAAUCAAGACAAUGAAUUUUCUGAUGCCAAUGAAUGCCACAGUCUUGUCCAGGCCAGCGAGCGCAGAAACAGAAAGAUUACGUCACUAUUUCAGUCCAUGAAGAAAUGGGGAUCUGCAGAAGAUCUUGCGCCAGUACCAGAGGAGAGGACAGUUGCUCACCAACUCAUGCUACCUGCAUUCAGGCCCAGAAAGUUCUCACGGUAGACUAGGUGAACUCCAAAAGCAUUCAGUUCUGCUUUAACGCCACUUAGAUUAUUUAUCAAGCUGAACUUGUUUGUACUUUUGUACCAUUUUCAGUUAGGACCAAAGGUUUGAGACUACUAGUUAAAAUGCUGCCAUUUUGCAUUUUUUUUUAUUUAAUACAUUUUAUUACAUCAUAUAUUAUCAGCAUAACAUAUAUAGUAAAAAGUUUAAUUGAAAAUUUGACAUGAAUUCCAGAUUAUCCUAGUAUUUGGAAUGUGCCACUUUUGCUUUAAUGACAGCAUGUACUCAUGUACUACAUAAGUUUGUGCAAAACCUGAUGAUCAUGUUAUCCAGAAUGUGUAUAUAUAUAUAUAUAUAUAUAUAGACAGUGGCAAGAAAUUUGGUGAACCCUUUGGAUUAAGCUGGUUUUCUGCAUUAAUUGGUCAUAAAAUGUGAUCUCAUCUUCAUAAAAGUCACAAAGUAUAGGCAAACACGAUGGUGCUUAAGCUUACAACACACAAACAAUUACAAUCAUUCAUAUCUUUAUUGAAGACAUAACACUUAACAUUCACAGUGCUGUGGAAAAUGUUAGUGAACCCUUGGAUUUUAUAGCUGGUUGAUCCUCCUUUGGCAGCAGUAACCUCAACCAAGCAUUUCUGGUAGCUGCGGAUUAGACCUGCACAACGUUCAGAUGGAAUUUUGGACCAUUUUUCUUACAGAACUGCUUCAGCGCAGCCAUAUUCUUAGGAUCUCUAGUGUGAACGGCUCUCUUGAGGUCAUUCCAGAGCAUCUCUAUUGGGUUAAGUUCUGGGCUCUAACUGGGCCACUCAAAAUGGUGGAUCUUCUUUUUUUGAAGCCAUUCUGCAGUGGAUUUACUUCGAUGUUUAGGAUCAUUGUCUUGCUGCAUCACUCAACUUCUACUGAGCUUCAGCUGGCACACACAGCCACCCUGACAUUAUCCUGUAGGAUUUCUUGAUAAACUUGGGAAUUCAUUUUUCCCAGGCCUUGAACAAGCAAAGCAGACCCAAAUCACGAUACUCCCUCCACCGUACUAUACUGUUGGGAUGAUGUUUUCAUGUUGGUAUGCGGUGCCCUGUUAACACCAUAUGUAAUGCUGUGUGUCCUUCCUAAACAUUUCAGCCGUAGUUUCAUCAGCCCACAAAACAUUUUUGCAUUGUGGAGUGUCAAGGUGGUCUUUGGCAAACUUCAGGCGUGCAGCUAUUUUUUUGUUUGAAUAAAAGCAGCGGCUUCUUUCGAACUGUCCUGCCAUGGACACCAUGCCUGUUUAAUGUUUUCCAUAUAGUAGACUCAUGAGCAGAGAUGUUAACCAGUUCCAGUGAUUCCUUCAAGUCUUCAGCUGUCACUCUAGGGUUCUUUUUUACGUCAUUGAGCAUUCUGUGUUGUGCCCUAUGAGCCAGCUUGGCUGGACGAACACUUCUAAGGAGAGUAACCACAGUACUAAAUCAUCUCCAUUUAUAGACAGUUUGUCUAACUGUGGACAGAUGAAUAUCUAAGCUCUUCGAGAUAACUUUGUAACCCUUUCCAUCUUUAUAUAAAGUAACAAUUCUUUAUCGUAGGUCUUCUGAGAUCUCUUUUUGCAAGGCAUGGUAUACAUCAGCAGAUGCUUCUUGUGAAUAGCAAACUCAAAAUUUUUGAGUGCUUUUUAUAUGUCAAAGUAGCUCAAAUCUUGUUUCAUUAAUUGGAUAUUAGGUUUGCCAACCCCUGACUCUAAUUAGCUUUUGUUGACAUCUAGGGGUUCACUUACUUUUUCCAACCUACACUGUGAAGGUUUGAAUGAUGUAUUCAGUAUGUUCAAGAACAAUACAAUCAUUUGUGUGUUAUUAGUAAAAACAGAUUGUGUUUGUUCAUUAUUGUAACAUCACAUGAAUAAGUAGAUGUACAGGUGUUCCUAAUGAAAGUGGCCGCUGAGGGUAUAUAAAUAUAUAUUUCACAAUCCUACAAUUUGCUGUUUAUUUCCAGGUUAAAUUAAAUUUUGAAUUACAGAUUUUCAAUGUAGUCUUAGACUUUUGGAUCCCACUGUAUUUAGUAUGUUAUGCAGUAUGUUAUCAAGUAUUACAUGUGAGAAGUGUACUGCUUAUAUAUUAUUUCUGCACUUUUCCGUAGAUUAUGGAGUUUAAAGUUUUACAGGUUUCAUUGAACAAUGAAACAAAGCAUUUCAAAUAUCCUAAGAUUCUAGUGUUUUAGCAAGGAGACAGAAUUCAGUUUUACACUUGAUUAGAAGCCAGACUCAUCUUUAAGAGAACUCUGGAGAGUUUUUGAAGAGAGACCAAACUUUUUGAAACUAAAACCAGCUUUGGUUUGCCUUAUCUUCACCUUACAAAACCUUAACUAAAGUCUGAAUGGUUUACGGUUAAUACGAAGGUGACUGAAAUAAAACAUAAAUUCAAAAUGGAGGAUAGGUACCUUCUUAAUAAAUGUCGCUUGUCUUAUUAUGGAUUAUUUAGCAGUGUGUGUUAUUAUAAAGAAAAAAAAAAGUUUAUUUUUAUAAUCUUUCAUCAAAAUAUAAUAGGUUUCACCACAUCUGAAACAACUUUUCCUUUCUGAUGACAUCACCAAGGCUGUGUGGGUGGGGGAACAUAAUAUUAACCAAUAAUAUCAUAGCUUAACAUUUUACAAUCCAAUCAAAUCACUAUAUAAAAUCAAGUUCCCCCUUACAUGAUUUCCCACCGAAAUAUGAAAAUGCAUCACAUUGCGGAAGUCAAAUAGUGUUUGUUGCGAAAGCCAUUUUUUUAGUUUACACCAUUAUUAUUUUUCGAUUUUGAGUUUUUUAAUCCAUUUGUAUAUUAAGACAAAGAUGUCUUUUGCAUUCCAAAGGAUGAUGUUGCAUAAAUCUGCUAAUUUGUGCCUUAUACUGGAGGUCUGGUGGUUUGCAGGAGUGUUAAUGUGUCUUUCUUCGUAUGUUUAUUUUCAUGUAAAUUAUGUUCCCUGAUAUAAUAAAUAAAAAUAAACUGUACUUUCGUUAAAGUUUGCUUUUU